rnacentral:rRNA from 1 species
AGGAGGCAGCAGUGGGGAAUAUUGCACAAUGGGCGCAAGCCUGAUGCAGCGACGCCGCGUGGGGGAUGACGGCCUUCGGGUUGUAAACCUCUUUCAAUAGGGACGAAGCGCAAGUGACGGUACCUAUAGAAGAAGCACCGGCCAACUACGUGCCAGCAGCCGCGGUAAUACGUAGGGUGCGAGCGUUGUCCGGAAUUACUGGGCGUAAAGGGCUUGUAGGUGGUUUGUCGCGUUGUUCGUGAAAUGCCACAGCUUAACUGUGGGCGUGCGGGCGAUACGGGCAGACUGGAGUACUGCAGGGGAGACUGGAAUUCCUGGUGCAGCGGUGGAAUGCGCAGAUAUCAGGAGGAACACUGGUGGCGAAGGCGGGUCUCUGGGCAGUAACUGACGCUGAGGAGCGAGAGCGUGGGGAGCGAACAGGAUUAGAAACCCUGGUAGUCCG